GUACCUAACCGUACGGUAAGUAGACUAUUUAGUAAACGUGGCAGACUAGAGUACUGUAGGAGGGGGGUAGGAAUUUCAGGUGUAGCGGUGAAAAUGCGUAGAGAUCUGAAGGAAUACCGGUGGCGAAGGCGGCCCCCUCGGACAGAUACUGACACUCAGAUGACGAAAGCGUGGGGAGCAAACAGGAUUAGAUACCCUGGUAG
rnacentral:rRNA from 1 species